ACCAAAUGUAUGGCACGUUGAUUUUUGAUUUAUUAUAUAUGGCAUGUGCCAAGGAGGUUUCAGACAUGGAACAAGGAACAGUAAAAUGGUUUAACGCAGACAAGGGAUUCGGAUUUAUCGAACGCGAAAACGGUGGGGAUGUAUUCGUACACUUCUCAGCUAUCCAAUCUGAUGGAUUCAAGUCAUUGGACGAAGGACAAAAAGUUGCUUUCGACGUUGAAGAAGGGGCUCGCGGAUUGCAAGCUGUUAACGUUACUAAGGACUAAUUUAAACCUUACAAUUUAAAAAAGCUGGAGCAUAAAUGCUCUGGCUUUUUU
rnacentral:other from 1 species